GAUGGCGGCGGCAGCCCGGGUCCGUUGCUGCCUGGCUCCGCAGCCACUCGCCCGUUUGCGGCCAACGAGGGACUCAGAGUCUUCUGGCUCUUGGUUCGGGUCUGCCAGCCUGUGUGCCGGGUAGAUAUGAAGCCUCCCGUUUACCUGCCCUCCGCUGUUUCUCCUCUUCCGCCGUUAACGUUUCCCGCUCGCUCCGGUCCCCGAGGCCGUGCGCCUGCGCGGUCUGACGGCACGGCGCGGUGAGCCCGCCCCGCCCGCCGUCCACUCUUGAUUGGUCGGAGGAGCAGAGGCCGCUCUCCGCUAUUGGCGAGGAGGCGCCAUCAAUCAGCGUGGCCCCAUUGUGAGGCCCAUCAAAGGACAGCACAUUACUGGAUCUGAGUCUGGGAAAAGAAGCUAAAUAGGUGUUCAGUGUGACAAUGGUUGAACAUUUCAGCGAUAGCAAUCGCAAUAUGGCUCAAAAUUGCUCUGGACAAGGAAAGAGAUGGACUGCAAAAGAUGGCGUUGGAUUGGGGAAAGGCCAAUAAAGCUGGGUCUGUCUACGGUAGACUGGGAACAGCUCCUUGCGGGAAUUCGGUGUUUCAUAUGAAUUGACCACCAACAAUAUAGAAGUUGUGCUGUAACUGUUUUACUGAGACAACAUCAGGAAUCCUAUGGAUCACUUUCAUCCUCAGACUCACUAGUAACAGUUUCUGCCUGUAUUCUCCUCAAGGUUGCUACUCUUCUCUUCCCUGUUUACUCCAUUGUCGAUUUGUGUGUCAUCUGCAAAUUCUGCAGACAAUUCCAGCUUUAUGGAGCUUGGUAGAGACUAAAGUUCCUUCUACAGUGUCCGUAACAAAGUCUGCCAGGACAGGGACAGCAUGGGGAGCUCUCUCGAUGAUGUCAGCAAUCAGGCCCUCAUUAACACUGUGGAAGGUGGAGAGUCAGAAACAGGAUAACUGUGCCAGUCUGCUCUGUCCACUAACUCUCCAUGCCUCAGUAAAAUUUAAAUAAUGAUCCAAUUCACUGUUGAAUGCUUCAAUCAUACCUACAUCUCCGACAACUCCAGGCAAGGCACUCCGGGCAAACAAAGCAUUCUGUGAAAAAAUAAAAGUCUCAUAUCACCUCUGUUACUUUUGAAAGUCAGUUUGAGCCUAUGGUCUUCUCAUUCCUGAUCCAUAUAUUUAGGGGACAGUUUUUUCCUAUCCAUUCGAUCUAGAGCUCUCAUGGUUUUGAAGAGUUCCAUCAGAUCUCCAACACGAAAAUUCUCCAUCUCUCCAAUCCAUCCUUAUAAUUCAUAGUGUCGACCAAUCAACCAGGAACAUUCCUCUCACAAUAGACGUUUCAGCACUCUACACAAGCAUCUCCCACAAUGAUAGCAUCAUGGCAACAACCUUGGUACUCAACACCAACAACUGCCUAUCUUCAAGCACUAUCUAACAACUCAUCUGCUUUAUCCUCAAUCACAAUGUCUUCACCUUUGACAGCCAAUUCUUCAUCCAGACACAUAGAACAGCCACGCCGACCAAAUUUGCACCUCAAUAUGCCAAAAACUCUAUGCACAGGUUCGAACAAGACUUCUUCUCUGCGCAGGACCCCCAACUAACAUUAUACACCAGGUACAUUGAUGACAUUUUCUUCCUCUGGACCCAUGGCGAGGUGUCAUUGAUAAAACUACACAGUGAUAUCAACUAGUUUCAUCCCACUAUCAAACUUACCAUGGACUACUGUCUACUAUCUGUCUCAUUCUUGAACAUAUGCGUCUCCAUCAAGGAUGGAUACCUCAGCACCAACUCUACCACAAACCCACAGACAACCUCACAAUGCUAUACUCCUUUAGCUUCAACCCAUAACAUUUUAAAACAGCCAUCCACAAUGGACAAGCCCUGCAUGCACACUGGAUCUGUUGGAUGAGGAGGAACGUGAUGGGUACCUGGAAGAACUCAUGGAUGCCUUCAUAAGAAUGGGGUACGAUUUUCAACUCAUCGACCACCAGUUCUGACGUGCCACAACAAGGAAUCAGAAUGACCUCCUCAGGAAACACGUGCUGCAACUGACAGGGUACCCUUCGUUGUCCAACAAUUCUCUGGAGCCGAAAAAUGACAAAAUGUUCUUCAUGACCUGCAACAUAUUACCAAUGAGGAUGAGGACCUCGCCAAGCCCUUCUCCACACCUCCACUGCUUGCCUUUAAACAACCACCAAAGCUCAAACAGAUCAUUGUUUGUAGCAAACUGCCCAGCUCUCAGGACAACUCCAUACAACCCUGUCACGGUAGACCUUGUAAGAUGUGUCAGAGUGUGGACAUGGAUACCACCAUUACGCAUUGGGGCAUCUCCACCAUGUACGUGGCAGGUACUCAUGCAACUCAGCCAACGUUGUCUAUCUCAUACACUGCAGGAAAGGAUUCCCUGAAGCAUGGUAUAUUGGUGAAACCGAGCAGAGGCUAUGGCGAUGAAUGAAUGGGCAUCACACAACAAUCAACAGACAGGAGUGUUCUGUCCCAGUUGGAGAACACUACAGCGGUCCAGGACACUCGACCGUGGACCUUCAGGUGACUAUCCUUCAAGGCAGAAAGGUGGCUGAGCAGAAGCCAAUAGUAAGUUUGCUACCCAUGGGGACCGGGACCUUGAGUUCAUGUCACACUACAGGUGACCAUCAUUGCACUAUGGUCACACACAGACACUACAUACACACUCACAUACACUUCUGUAGACACACACACACAGGCAGACCUAUACACAGGCACAUAUACCCCUACAGACACACACACUCCUGCACUCACACAUGCACCCUCUUACAGACUUUGAUCCUUUUUCACUCACACACACUCUCUCACAGAUGCUCACAACCCCCCUCCACAGAUACACACACACACACUCCUACAGACACACACACUCCCACACUCACACAUGCAUCCUCGCACAGACUUAGACCACUUUACAUGCACACACACCUAUACACUCUUUCUCAUAAACACUCACAACCCCUCACCACAGACACAUGAACACACACACACAGAUUCUCCUAUAGCCUCACACACUCCCACACUCAUAGAAGGCCGCUCUCACAGCCUUAGACCCCUUUACACUCACACACACAUAUACACUCUAUCUCACAGACGCUUACAAUCCCCUACACCACGCACACACACACAAACCCACAUGCACACAUACACAUAUAGGUUUGUGUUGUGAAUUUAUACUUGCAGAUUUACAUUGUACUUUGCUCAAAAAGUGCAUGAAUCCAUGUAAGACUCUAUUAACUCAUUUUUAGAUUAGAAUCAGUCUCAACAUCAUGGCAUAGACAACAGAACUGUGGGGGCUAACACUUUCAACAUCUUAUAUGGACUGACACCAGUUGUUACAGUUAACCUGAGACUGUAACUUUGAAAAAGCAAGUUUUGAGAUUUACAUAUGAAAGAAGUGAAACUAUCAUUGUCAUUCUAACAGAUGAGAGACUUAACAAAUAAUCAAUAUAUUUUUCAAUGUAUAAUUUCAGUUACACCACAGUGAAAACUUUGGGUAUAAAUUCUGUGUCUUGCAAUUGUGUACUCCGCACACACCUGAUGAAAGAGCAGCGCUCUGAAAGCUAGCACUUCCAAUUAAAUCUGUUGGACUAUAACCUGGUGUUGUGUGAUUUUAUCUGAAGAUGGUCAUUAUUAGGAUUG